GAUAUGGCUCAGAUUGAACGCUGGCGGCAUGCUUUACACAUGCAAGUCGAACGGCAGCACAGGGAGCUUGCUCCCGGGUGGCGAGUGGCGCACGGGUGAGUAAUACAUCGGAACGUGUCCUGUUGUGGGGGAUAACUGCUCGAAAGGGUGGCUAAUACCGCAUGAGACCUGAGGGUGAAAGCGGGGGAUCGCAAGACCUCGCGCAAUUGGAGCGGCCGAUGCCCGAUUAG
rnacentral:rRNA from 1 species